rnacentral:tRNA from 1 species
GGUUAUGGCUCAGUGGUAGAGCGCUCACCUUGCACGUACAAGGCCCUGGGUUCGAUCCUCAGCACCA